UGGCUAAAAUUUUUGUUUCUUGUUCUAAAUUCAAUGGUGGCCUUGGCUAACAUUGUCGUCUUCUGGUUUUGACAGGUGCAAAUAUUAAAGAUUGUAUGUUCAGUUUGUUAGAGAAUUGUUUUCUACAAUGGUGGUUCUUCUACAAAGAGAGUGUUGUGCAUUUUGAACUUUUGUGGGUUAACUAAUUGUGUUCAUCACUAAAUAGUUACAGUCUUUAGUUUCAAUCUUUUGGGUAAGCCUAAUGGUUAUGCUUUAUUUUUUCCUUUUUAUUGCAUUCCUUGUUCUUACAUAUUCUAUUUCAGUAAAUGGCACAUAAUCCUAUGCAAUUGUAUACUGGUGCUUUACUUUUUCUGCCCAGCUUAGUUGUGAGUCAUCAUUAACCACUAAUUCUCUUUCCUCUUGCUAUUUGUUCCGAAAUGAUGAUUAUGUCCUGGUGCCCUUUAUGAGGGCUUGAUGUUGUUUAUGGGUACCAUUUUUGUCUAUUAUUUUAUUAUAUCCUAGAUUACUUGCUUUUGAGUAAAGGAACUCUAGUUUUUUGAUCUUAUAAAUAGGGGGUUGGAAAUGAAAUAAUUGCCAAGCAAUUGAUUUUUGUACAAGUUUCAUUCAGGGGAUUUCCUUAAGACAACAGGAGCUAAGUAUACCUUAUCGGUAAAAGAUUAGGUAACAUCACUUUUCCUUCUGUUGUGACUUAUCUAAAUACAAUCUUAGAUUGGUGUUGUCAUUCUUUUUGUAGGUUUUUGAUCUAUGAUUUGUGUAAAGAUCCUUGCACCAUAAGAUGAAAGUAAUUGCCUAUUGAUUUAUGGAAUAUGCCAUUGUACUACAAGAAGGAAGUUUAUUCACUAAGCCAGGUUAAAUACUUGGUGGCUGAUCAGUAAAUUACAUUGUUAAUGACCAGAAGUUUUAUUUUCCUCUUCGGAAAAGAAGUAAUGAUUUAGCUAAUAGCAUCUAGGGAUAAGAACACAGAAAAGACUUUAAGUUUAUUUUUUCUCUCAUUCUUUGUAAAAUGCUUCUUUUUCCC
rnacentral:lncRNA from 1 species